UUUGCAGGCUUAGUUAACUGGGUUGGUAAGUACUUCAUCAAAGAUAUUCCUCAGGUGGGUUAAACCCUUUUCUUAUUUCAAUUCCGCGAUCCAUGUAUAAGGGAGCAACUGUCGCCUUCAACUUGACUCGUUCCUCGUUUCGUGCAGGGAGCAGCGACGACAUGUUAUGUAGCUUUGCAUCCAGCAGUGAGGAGUGAGCGGUGAGAUUUUUCGGACAGCAACGUCGGGCAGCCGACGAAACUGGCCACGGAUGCUCAGCUGGCUCAGAAACUGUGGGACUUCAGCUUGAAAUUGACGAACCCUAAAUAGUUCCACUUUGAUUCCUCGAAUCUUGUUGUCAUCACCUGUGAAUUUUUCAUCACAUGUUACUGGCCUGCCACAAUUUUAUUCUCUUCAUAGAUACAAACAUUUGAUAUAUUUCCUGAUGUUGAUGCAUGCUUGAUAUUUAUGGUUUUAGUUCUGUGAUUUGGCACUCGAAAUUAUAUCAAGAUGAGACCCCUCAUACACCAGUACGUACUCGCUCGAGACCACAUGUAGAUUUCACCACGUGUUACCAACCAAAAAGUGUUUCCUCAUAUGUCUGUAGCUCAUACAUCAGAUAUGCUUUUAAUACCUCCCCAACUCUGAUCUUCUCGAGCUGUUAUCUCUCAUGUCUCCUUUACUCUGUAUCAGAUCUUAGCUGAGCUCGUAAGCAUGAUCAGUAUUUUGCUGCUCGCGUAUGGGCUUAUUCCUCAGUAUUUUGGUCUUUCUUAUGGUAAUGAAGAUGGCCUGAAUACCAUCCUCAUUACGAUAUUAAUUAUUUUUUUGUAGUUAUUUGUGUGUAAAGGAAUAUAUAUGAAGGCUUGGGGUCGGAUCUACGACAAAUAGCAAAAGACAAUUUGGGGUAGGCGGUAUGAGCUACGAUCAAAUACACCCAAACAAACCCACGAGCUAUUUCAAACAAAUAACAACAAUGGUUAAACACUUCUCGGCUUGGCACAUCCUCCACCAAUCUCAACAAUUCGCCUCUAUCGACGAGACGUCCAUUCUUUAAAAAGNGUAUGCGCUCUUUGAUUUCCAAAAGAUACAGACUGCUAUGAAACAAAGUUCUUGCUAAAAACAUCAAGGAUUUAAAUAGAGGGAGUAUGAAUGAAAGGUUACGAUUCUCUUAUGGAUGCACUUUUUCCAUGGGAGGAUUAUAAAAGAAAAAAUCUCAAACUCUCUGUUUGUUAAGUCCUUUAUAUCCCUUAAAUUUGGGGAACAUUGUCACGCUAAGUUAGUAACGAAUGUCUUAUUUCUUUCUUGAACUCAACUCAAUAUGGUAAUGGUUAUUUCUUGUAUUAUUGCUCCACAGUUACAAUAGCAUACUCGCAUAUGGACAGUCCAAGCUGGCUAACGUAUUGCACGCUAAUGAACUCACGAGGCUCUUUCAGGUAAUCAAUGCCGUGGCAUUUCAGGAGGAAUUAGAAAACAAUUUAAACUUGUCGAGCCUUGGAUGUAUCUGUCAUUGCAGAUUCUGUUUGUUUCCACCUGUGUUCAUAUAUCUAGUGAUAUUAAACAGGUGGACCCUACCGGUUAUGGGCUAGUCUUAGCGGGCUACGUGCUAUAUGCUCCUGCCCAGUUUAAUAUAGUUCGAAAUGGUCAGACCAAAAGAAGCUGGGUUUAUGUAGGUUAAUAAAAUCGAACAUGGCCCGUUAACACCUCUAUAUAUAUACACACAGGUUUAUGUAGGUUAAUAAAAUCGAACAUGGCCCGUUAACACCUCUGUGUUUGUAUUUGAUUGAUCUGUCGUAACCUUUUGGAUAUGGAAUGAAGCUUUUAUGUAGAUAUGUUGAUUAUGGUAGGUUUAACUUACUAGUAAUAGUUUGUCAAAAUCGAGUUCGUAGUGUACCAAGAUAUAGCCGAACUGCCUAAGUUUACACUUGUAUCAAGAUUAUAUAUGUACGAAGGAGCUCGUCUACCUGUGCUGAUAUUCGUCUCAACACUUGGUGCAUUCUGCAGCAUGCUCUUUGCGAUUUGUAAGACUUUUUAGCAAUGAAACGUCGCAACAUUGGUUUUUUUCUUUGCUACUACAGGAAAAGGGGUCAAAAUAACUGCUAACUCACUACAUCCGGGAGCAAUCGCCACCAACCUUCUGCGGCAUCAUGGCCUCAUCGAAGGUUACCAUCGACUCCUAUACUUGUAUUACUUGGAAGAAGAUCCAAUUUAUUUUUAUGGUGGUGUGAAAUUUGUGUGUUUUCUCGUUUGCAGGCUUAGUUAACUGGGUUGGUAAGUACUUCAUCAAAGAUAUUCCUCAGGUGGGUUAAACCCUUUUCUUAUUUCAAUUCCGCGAUCCAUGUAUAAGGGAGCAACUGUCGCCUUCAACUUGACUCGUUCCUCGUUUCGUGCAGGGAGCAGCGACGACAUGUUAUGUAGCUUUGCAUCCAGCAGUUGAAGGAGUGAGCGGUGAGUAUUUUUCGGACAGCAACGUCGGG
rnacentral:lncRNA from 1 species